GACAGCAAGAAAGACCAGGUCCUUCAUGAGGAGCAGCGUCCGAUUGAGUCCAAGAGCCAGCCCUCCAACUGGCUCUGCUGGCUUGGACUGACAUCUUGCUCCCCCAACACCGAGGACGGGAAGAAGAACAAGGUCUUUCCUGAGGAGCAGAGCCCCGUUGAGACCAAGGGCCAGCCCUCCAACUGGCUCUGCUGGAUUGGACUAAACACCUGUCCUCAGAAUGGAGAGAAAAAAGUCGUGCCUCCCGAGAAGAGCCUGCCCGUUAAUGCUGAGCGCCGUGCCUCCCACUGGCCCUUCUGGAUUGGCCU